UGGGGCCCUCGGCAGACGCAUGUCCCCACCAAUUCAGAUGGCUGCAGGGGCCAGGAAGGCGACACAGAGGACUAAAGGAGACCGUGGGCAUCGGCAAAUUGGAGACUGUGAGCUCCAGUUAGAGGAAGGAGCUGUGUCUUAAGCCAUUUUGUGUUACUUAUUAUAAAGGAAUACCUGAGGCUGGUGUAUAUACAGAAGAUGGUCUAUUUAGGCUCACGAUUCUGAUGGUUGGAAAGUUCAUGGUCAGGCGUCUGCUUCUAGGGAGGGCCUUGUGCUGCUUCCACUCAGAGUGGAAAGUGGAGGGGAGCCGUGUGAGUGGAUUACGUGGCAAGAGGAAGCAAGCGUGCUGGGAGGCGCCAGGGUGUUUUUAACAACUUGCCUCUCUUGGGAACUAAUAGAGCGAGAACUCAUUCAUUUCCUUGAGGAGGGCACCACGACGUUCAUGAAGGAUCGGCCCCCAUGACCCCAACACCUCCCGCCAGGCCCCACCUCCAACAGCAGGGAUCACAUUUCAACCGGAGAUUUGGAGGGACAGCAUCCCCCCUACAGCGGCUGCUGCAGAGUUCCAGUGAUGGCUGACGUGCAGAUCCAGAGGCUGAAUGUCGUUUUCAAGAGAAGACAGAAAUUUUGAUUUUUUUUUAAUCCACAGAUGGUUGAAGCUGGGCUCUUUGAAGAAAUGACAAUAGACAUUUGCCUGGAGGUUUAGUGUUUACAAAGCGAUCCACUAACACCAUCUCUUGGAAUCCUCACAACAGCAGUGGGGAGAAGGCAUUGUAGGCAUAAUCUGUGUUACAGCUGUGGAAUCUGGGGCUCACCGUUUGGACAACUUUUUGGAGGUCAUGCAGCUAGUCAGACAGAGCUGAUACAAACGCGGGUCUCAGAACUCUACACCGGGGUUUUCCCCUCUGCCUGGCACUCGGGGACAAGGUGAGGGGAUGGGCUACCCUAGCCACUGUUAUGGGUUGAAUUUUGUCCUCCUAAAAGAUGUGUUGAGCUA